CAGUAGCCGCGGGAAUACGUAGGGUGCAAGCGUUAAUCGGAAUUACUGGGCGUAAAGCGUGCGCAGGCGGUUUGUUAAGACAGAUGUGAAAUCCCCGGGCUCAACCUGGGAACUGCAUUUGUGACUGGCAAGCUAGAGUGUGGCAGAGGGGGGUGGAAUUCCGCGUGUAGCAGUGAAAUGCGUAGAUAUGCGGAGGAACACCGAUGGCGAAGGCAGCCCCCUGGGCCAACACUGACGCUCAUGCACGAAAGCGUGGGGAGCAAACAGGAUUAGAUACCCCGGUAGUCCCUGUCUCUUAUAC
rnacentral:rRNA from 1 species